UACGUAGGGUGCAAGCGUUGUCCGGAAUUAUUGGGCGUAAAGAGCUCGUAGGCGGUUUGUCGCGUCUGCUGUGAAAACUCAGGGCUUAACCCUGAGCCUGCAGUGGGUACGGGCAGACUAGAGUGUGGUAGGGGGAGAUUGGAAUUCCUGGUGUAGCGGUGGAAUGCGCAGAUAUCAGGAGGAACACCGAUGGCGAAGGCAGAUCUCUGGGCCGUAACUGACGCUGAGGAGCGAAAGCGUGGGGAGCGAACAGG
rnacentral:rRNA from 1 species